AAGCAGCUCACCUGUGUGUCCGUGUUUAGUGUCCAGGUGUGGAGUGGAGCUUCUUCUUCUUCUUCUGUUUGCAGAAACUCUCUCCGCAGCUUCGGCACCGAGGGGGACCCCCUUUAGACCGCAGAGAGCCCACAGCGAGUCUGUGACAGAAAGGUUGCAGCAGGCCGUUAGCUGAGCCUCCACUUUCCUUCAGAGAGCAGGAGGAGGAAAGAGGAGCUGAGGCGGGGUGAAGGUAGAAAGUGUGUGUGAGCUGAUGUGAAUUGAGCAGCAUGGAUCAGUGUGAGGACAGA